rnacentral:rRNA from 1 species
ACGGGGCCCGGCACAAGCGGAGGAACAUGUGGUUUAAUUUCGAUGAUACGCGAGGAACCGUUACCUGGGCUUAAAUGGGAGUGACAGCUGGCGAAAGUUGGUUUUCUUCGGACACUCUUCAAGGUGCUGCAUGGUUGUCGUCAGCUCGUGCCGUGAGGUGUCGGGUUAAGUCCCAUAACGAGCGCAACCCUUACUGUUAGUUGCCAGCGGGUAGAGCCGGGAACUCUAACGGGACUGCCACCGUAAGGUGAGAGGAAGGUGGGGAUGACGUCAAAUCAGCACGGCCCUUAUGUCCAGGGCUACACACGUGUUACAAUGGCCGGUACAAAGGGCAGCCACACUGCGAAGUGAUGCUAAUCUCGAAAGCCGGUCUCAGUUCGGAUCGAAGUCUGCAACCCGACUUCGUGAAGUUGGAUUCGCUAGUAAUCGCGCAUCAGCCAUGGCGCGGUGAAUACGUUCCCGGGCCUU